CUGGUAACGCUGGGGCAGUCUGGUAAAUUCCUGCGCCGGUGGCGGCCGAUGACGGUUUUGGUCUUGGUGGUCUUGGGAGCCUCGUACUCCCGUUUCUUCUUCCUCUCGCACGCGGUCGCUGCAUAUUCUCCCACACCCCAAUUUCUGCAUCUUCGUGUCCUCCGAUCGCACCCAACUUCAGCAAGUUAAAGCCGUGCGUUGUCUCUACCCUACGGCCACAAACAGAGGCCUCGUCACCGGAGGGAGGCGGUGAGAUCUCCCGGCGGCAUGUCGUUGGAUUCGGACUCCUCUUCGCAGGGCGGCGACCGCCGGAGCUUCCGGCAGAUCACACGAGACCGAGAGACUCAACUCGGGAGAGAUAUAAAACAGGGGAUACUCUUCGUGACAUUCAGGCGGAAAGUGACCUCCCUUUGUCAUGUUGGGGAGACUUUAAUGAAGUUCUCAGGCAAGAUGAGCAUGUUGAAGUAGGGCAAAGAACUCAGGCUCAAAUAAGGGGUUUUAGGGAGGCUGUAGAUGAGUGCAGCUCGUGUGAUCUUGGGUAUGUUGGCAGAAGCUGGACUUUUGAGAAAAAAGUUGCAGGAGGUGGCUAUACGCGAGUCAGGCUGGACAGGUCCCUAGCUACUGUUGACUGCAGAAACAUCUGUCGGCUGCUUCAGACCAUGGUCCUAUUCUGCUGUCUUUGGACCAUCCCCAACACAAUCAGGGACGAGCUACUCGGUAGUUCAGAUUUGAGUUUAUGUGGGAAUCAAUUGAGAAUUUUAAACAGCCGUAGAUAGAGCGCGGAAGGACCAGGCUACAUGUUCUUCGGUUCGUGAGGGAAAAGCUUAAUGGCAUGGCUAUGGCACUUCAUUUGUGGGGCAGCACCACCUUUGGGAGUGUUAAGACAGAGAUUUGGAAUCUGAAAAAAAUGCUUGGAAGAACUCAGAAACAUUCCAAUUCGCGUUGGCCGUCAAGGGAGGAGACGAAGGCCCUGAACAGGUUGAUGUAAUUUUAUCAUCGCGAGGAGACUAUGUGGCGACAAGGGUCUAGAAUUCAAUGGUCAGCUGAAGGUGUUGUUCAUGGCCAAGAGAGUCGGAGGAAAUUAAUAAAACGGUUUUAGUCCUGACCUCGAAGGUACAUAACCAAAAGCUUCUCUCUCGGUUCCGCCCCAUUAGUUAGUAUAACAUGUUAUACUCCCUUUGGAUGGGAAUAUAAUCUCACACAUGAAUUUAGGUCGUCAAUUUAACCAGCAAAACAUGUGGCUGACUUAUAUUUUAUGACAUACAAUACAUUUUUGCUAAUCAAAUUGAAGACCUAAAAACCCGUGGCUGACUUAUAUCCCCAUCCGGAGGGAGUAGCUAAUCACAUUAGGUUAAUUCCACUGAUUAUUUCCGAGGAACAACGAGCAUUUGUGCCUGGCCGGUUAAUAACUGACAACAUCAUCACGACACGAGUGCUUACAUUUUAUGAAGGGUAACAAAUCAGCAAAACAGCAUUGUGCUUUCAAAUUGGACAUGAUGAAAGACUGAUAGAGUUGAACGACAAUAUGUGGAAGCUAUGAUAAUUAAAUUGGGUUUCUCUCAACAAUUGGGGGAUCCGAUCUCCACACUUGUUUUUGUUAGCAGCAGAGGGCCUCACGUGCUCGUUAUGAAGUCAGAAUCAGUCAUCACACCAUGGUAUUAAAGUGGCCCCUUCGGCACUUCCGGUGAAUCACUUGCUCUUUGCGAUGACAGCCUAGUGUUUUUCAAAGCUAGCGGUGGAGCAGCUACUUUGGUUUCCUAAGCUCUAGACAGGUAUUGUCAAGCAUCGGGACAAAUAAUAAACUUGGAUAAAUCCUCGAUUUUGUUCAGUAAAGGGUGCCCUCAACCUAUACAGGAAGAAAUUAAACAAAUCUGGGAAGCAAGUAAUGAGUCCCUUCCUGACAAAUAUCUAGGAAUGCCUACCAGUGUUGGUCAUUCAAAGAAUGGUGCCUUAUCUG